GUGCUCACUCCAGCAGCACACAUACUAAAACUGGAAUGAGAGAGAGAUUAGCAAGGUCCCUGAGCAAUGAUGGCAUGCAAGUUCGUGAAGCAUUCCGUACUUUU
ensembl:snRNA U6 U6 spliceosomal RNA